rnacentral:rRNA from 1 species
GACGAACGCUGGCGGCGUGCUUAACACAUGCAAGUCGAACGGAAAGGCCCUGCUUUUGUGGGGUGCUCGAGUGGCGAACGGGUGAGUAGCACGUGAGUAACCUGCCCUUGACUUUGGGAUAACUUCAGGAAACUGGGGCUAAUACCGGAUAGGAGCUCCUGCUGCAUGGUGGGGGUUGGAAAGUUUCGGCGGUCGGGGAUGGACUCGCGGCUUAUCAGCUUGUUGGUGGGGUAGUGGCUUACCAAGGCUUUGACGGGUAGCCGGCCUGAGAGGGUGACCGGCCACAUUGGGACUGAGAUACGGCCCAGACUCCUACGGGAGGCAGCAGUGGGGAAUAUUGCACAAUGGGCGGAAGCCUGAUGCAGCAACGCCGCGUGCGGGAUGACGGCCUUCGGGUUGUAAACCGCUUUCGCCUGUGACGAAGCGUGAGUGACGGUAAUGGGUAAAGAAGCACCGGCUAACUACGUG